UUCAGAAACAGCUUGAUGAUGUCAAAGGAUGGAAAAACCCAGUUAUCCUCUGAGCAGCUGAUUCCAUCCCAAACAUGGAGACCCUGAGGAGGUUGUUUCGUUUCUGCUGAACCAAGGCCAUUUUUGCAAGGAACACGCAUCUCUGUGUCUGCAGAAUCUUGGAUCCUUUUGGGAAAGCCGUGCUCUGGGCCAGCAGUGAAGGAGAGAGAGCUAUGUACACACAGCUGAAGAUGACUUUAGCACAGAGUUUAUUUAAUAUAUCCUCCAAAUUGUAUUUUGAAGCAUCUGUUAAUAAGAAAGCACUCUCUUUUUGAGCAGGGCGAGUGUUUUAUAAAUGGAAUUUGCAGACCAGCAACACUCCCAUUAAUUUUCCCUGUCUACAAUUACUAUCAUUACAUUCUUAAAGCACUUUUAAAAUAAACUACUCCAUGAUGUCA